AUGAACGCUAGCGGCAGGCCUAAUACAUGCAAGUCGAGGGGUAAGAGUCAGCUUGCUGACUACACGACCGGCGCACGGGUGCGUAACGCGUAUGCAACCUACCUUUAACAGAGGAAUAGCCCCGAGAAAUCGGGAUUAAUACCACAUAACAUUAUGAUAUGGCAUCAUAUUAUAAUUAAAACUCCGGUGGUUAAAGAUGGGCAUGCGUGACAUUAGCUAGUUGGUGAGGUAACUGCUCACCAAGGCUACGAUGUCUAGGGGUUCUGAGAGGAUGAUCCCCCACACUGGUACUGAGACACGGACCAGACUCCUACGGGAGGCAGCAGUAAGGAAUAUUGCGCAAUGGAGGCAACUCUGACGCAGCCAUGCCGCGUGCAGGAUUGAAGGCCUUAUGGGUCGUAAACUGCUUUUAUUUAGGAAUAAACUUUCGUACGUGUACGAAACUGAAGGUACUAAACGAAUAAGCACCGGCUAACUCCGUGCCAGCAGCCGCGGUAAUACGGAGGGUGCAAGCGUUAUCCGGAUUUAUUGGGUUUAAAGGGUGCGCAGGCGGACCAAUUAGUCAGUGGUGAAAUCCCGAGGCUCAACCUCGGAACUGCCAUUGAUACUGUUGGUCUUGAAUACGGUUGAAGUAGGCGGAAUGUAGCAUGUAGCGGUGAAAUGCAUAGAGAUGCUACAGAACACCGAUCGCGAAAGGCAGCUUACUAAACCGAUAUUGACGCUCAGGCACGAAAGCGUGGGGAGCGAACAGGAUUAGAUACCCUGGUAGUCCACGCCGUAAACUAUGAUCACUCGUUGUUGGCAAUACACAGUCAGUGACCAAGCGAAAGCGAUAAGUGAUCCACCUGGGGAGUACGAUCGCAAGGUUGAAACUCAAAGGAAUUGACGGGGGCCCGCACAAGCGGUGGAGCAUGUGGUUUAAUUCGAUGAUACGCGAGGAACCUUACCUGGGCUCAAAUGUAAGUUGACAGUUUCUGAAAGGGAAUUUUCUUCGGACAAUUUACAAGGUGCUGCAUGGUUGUCGUCAGCUCGUGCCGUGAGGUGUCGGGUUAAGUCCCAUAACGAGCGCAACCCCUACUCUUAGUUGCCAUCAGAUAAUGCUGGGGACUCUAGGAGAACUGCCUACGCAAGUAGAGAGGAAGGUGGGGAUGACGUCAAAUCAGCACGGCCCUUACGUCCAGGGCUACACACGUGCUACAAUGGCCGGUACAGAGGGCAGCCACCUGGUGACAGGGAGCGAAUCUCUAAAGCCGGUCUCAGUUCGGAUCGAAGUCUGCAACCCGACUUCGUGAAGCUGGAAUCGCUAGUAAUCGCGCAUCAGCCAUGGCGCGGUGAAUACGUUCCCGGGCCUUGUACACACCGCCC
rnacentral:rRNA from 1 species